CAAAUAGAGAAAACGGAUAGUGGACGCAAGAGACAAAUACCCCGAGGAGUGACCACAGUGAAGGAUCAUUUUUACAUUGGCUGCAAAGUAGCAACGUCAUUUAUGAGUUCCAACCACUGGAGGAGGAGGACACUCCCCAAUGGGCUCAGGAGAAGCGAAGCUCGAGUCAUGCAUCCUCCGAAACAUGGCACGCCAAACCACACUACUUAACACCUGCCCGCUUAACCCGGAAGCCAGCUGCACUAAUGUGCCGGAGGAAACACUGUUCAACUGACGACCAGCGUCAGCCUUCAGGUGCCUGGCCCACCACAAGGAGUCACUGGAGCACAAUGAGUCAAGUAAAGCCCCCCCUCGGCCAAACCCUCCCCUAACCCAGACGACGCUGAGCAAAUUGUGCUCCUCCC
rnacentral:lncRNA from 1 species